rnacentral:rRNA from 1 species
UACGGAGGAUCCGAGCGUUAUCCGGAUUUAUUGGGUUUAAAGGGUGCGUAGGCGGGCUGUUAAGUCAGCGGUAAAAUUUGGAGGCUCAACCUCCACGAGCCGUUGAAACUGGCGGUCUUGAGUGGGCGAGAAGUAUGCGGAAUGCGUGGUGUAGCGGUGAAAUGCAUAGAUAUCACGCAGAACCCCGAUAGCGAAGGCAGCUUACCAGACUGUUACUGACGCUGAAGCACGAGAGCGUGGGUAGCGAACAGG